UACGGGGGGAGCAAGCGUUGUUCGGAUUUACUGGGCGUAAAGGGCGGGUAGGCGGCCACCGCAAGUCAGUUGUGAAAUCUCUGGGCUUAACCCAGAAAGGGCAACUGAUACUGCGGGGCUAGAGUGCAGAAGGGGCAACUGGAAUUCUCGGUGUAGCGGUGAAAUGCGUAGAUAUCGAGAGGAACACCUGCGGCGAAGGCGGGUUGCUGGGCUGACACUGACGCUGAACUGCGAAAGCUAGGGGAGCGAACGGG
rnacentral:rRNA from 1 species